AGCCCACUAUUAUGAAAUAGUUAAGCCCAUACGGACAGGCGGGCUGCUGCCGG
rnacentral:sRNA from 12 species